GAUGAACGCUGGCGGCGUGCUUAACACAUGCAAGUCGAACGAUGAAGCCCAGCUUGCUGGGUGGAUUAGUGGCGAACGGGUGAGUAACACGUGAGUAACCUGCCCUUAACUCUGGGAUAUGCCUGGGAAACUGGGUCUAAUACCGGAUAGGAGCGUCCACCGCAUGGUGGGUGUUGGAAAGAUUUAUCGGUUUUGGAUGGACUCGCGGCCUAUCAGCUUGUUGGUGAGGUAAUGGCUCACCAAGGCGACGACGGGUAGCCGGCCUGAGAGGGUGACCGGCCACACUGGGACUGAGACACGGCCCAGACUCCUACGGGAGGCAGCAGUGGGGAAUAUUGCACAAUGGGCGCAAGCCUGAUGCAGCGACGCCGCGUGAGGGAUGACGGCCUUCGGGUUGUAAACCUCUUUCAGUAGGGAAGAAGCGAAAGUGACGGUACCUGCAGAAGAAGCACCGGCUAACUACGUG
rnacentral:rRNA from 1 species